CAAGGAAUAUUGGGCAAUGGCCGAAAGGCUGACCCAGCGACGCCGCGUGGGGGAUGAAGGCCCUCGGGUCGUAAACCCCUUUUCUCAGGGACGAAGAUGACGGUACCUGAGGAAGAAGCCCCGGCUAACUACGUGCCAGCAGCCGCGGUAAUACGUAGGGGGCGAGCGUUGUCCGGAAUUACUGGGCGUAAAGCGCGCGUAGGUGGUCCGCCAAGUUCGGCGUGAAAUCUCCAGGCUCAACUUGGAGGGGUCGUCGAAGACUGACGGACUAGGGUCUGGCAGAGGCAGGUAGAAUUCCCGGUGGAGCGGUGAAAUGCGUAGAGAUCGGGAGGAAUACCAGUGGCGAAGGCGGCCUGCUGGGCCACGACCGACACUGAGGUGCGAAAGCGUGGGGAGCGAACCGGAUUAGAUACCCGGGUAGUCCACGCCCUAAACGAUGGGUACUAGGCGUGGGGGGUAGUCGACCCCCGUCUGUGCCGCAGCUAACGCGAGAAGUA
rnacentral:rRNA from 1 species